AUUUAUGUACUCUUCCUCUCAAUCACCAAUAUGGUCCCAGUUAUGCAUGUUUAUGUAUGUGUUGUCUACAGGUGGUUAUGCUGGUUUUAUCUUUCGGUUGGUUGUUAGCCCCCUACAAGAGUUGUCACCAUAUGAAAAGGCUCCAAAAGGUGUCACGGUCAGGAAUCUUUUUUCCAGGCAUCCAGUGAUGAUCAGAGGGCCACAGUACCAAUUGGGCAGACUUUGUCAAGGCGGCAGGAAUAGAAGAAUAGCAUAUACUCAGAUAAGGAUCUUCGUCUUCAACAUUAUAAGGGGAAAUUAUUGCUCACUGUCCUGUCCAUACGCUUUAGAAGGAAAUCACAAGUGUAUUUUCUAUACAAAACCAUCAUGUGGUCAUCUAUAUUACGAACUAUUCACACCAAA